rnacentral:rRNA from 1 species
CAGCAGUCGCGAAAACUUCAGCAGUCGCGAAAACUUCACAAUGGGAGAAAUCCCGAUGAGGGAAUUCCAAGUGCUAGCACUAUGUGUUAGCUGUUCUUUUGUCUAAAAAACAGAGGAAGUAAGGGCCGGGUAAGACGGGUGCCAGCCGCCGCGGUAAUACCCGCGGCCCGAGUGGUGGUCGAUAUUAUUGAGCCUAAAACGUCCGUAGCCGGUCUUGUAAAUCCUUGGGUAAAUCGGCCAGCUUAGCUGUCCGAAGUCCGGGGAGACUGCAAGACUUGGGAUCGGGAGAGGUCAGAGGUACUUCUGGGGUAGGGGUAAAAUCCUGUAAUCCUGGAAGGACCACCGGUGGCGAAGGCGUCUGACUAGAACGAAUUCGACGGUGAGGGACGAAGCCCUGGGGCGCAAACGGGAUUAGAUACCCCGGUAGUCCAGGGUGUAAACGCUGCGGGCUUGGUGUUGGGGGUCCUUUGUGGGCGCCCAGUGCCGGAGAGAAGUUGUU